rnacentral:rRNA from 1 species
UACGUAGGGUGCAAGCGUUGUCCGGAAUUAUUGGGCGUAAAGAGCUCGUAGGCGGUUUGUUGCGUCGGCUGUGAAAUCCCGAGGCUCAACCUCGGGUCUGCAGUCGAUACGAGCAAACUAGAGUGUUGCAGGGGGGACUGGAAUUCCUGGUGUAGCGGUGAAAUGCGCAGAUAUCAGGAGGAACACCGGUGGCGAAGGCGGGUCUCUGGGCAACAACUGACGCUGAGACGCGAAAGCGUGGGGAGCGAACAGG